AGUGAACGCUGGCGGUAGGCCUAACACAUGCAAGUCGAACGGCAGCACAGGAGAGCUUGCUCUCUGGGUGGCGAGUGGCGGACGGGUGAGGAAUACAUCGGAAUCUACUCUGUCGUGGGGGAUAACGUAGGGAAACUUACGCUAAUACCGCAUACGACCUACGGGUGAAAGCAGGGGACCUUCGGGCCUUGCGCGAUUGAAUGAGCCGAUGUCGGAUUAGCUAGUUGGCGGGGUAAAGGCCCACCAAGGCGACGAUCCGUAGCGGGUCUGAGGGGAUGAUCAGCCACACUGGUACGGAGACACGGUCCAGACUCCUACGGGAGGCAGCAGUGGGGAAUAUUGGACAAUGGGCGCAAGCCUGAUCCAGCCAUACCGCGUGGGUGAAGAAGGCCUUCGGGUUGUAAAGCCCUUUUGUUGGGAAAGAAAUCCAGCUGGCUAAUACCCGGUUGGGAUGACGGUACCCAAAGAAUAAGCACCGGCUAACUUCGUGCCAGCCGCCGCCGUAA
rnacentral:rRNA from 1 species